UACGAAGGGGGCUAGCGUUGUUCGGAAUUACUGGGCGUAAAGCGCGCGCAGGCGGUCCUUUAAGUCGGGGGUGAAAGCCCAGAGCUCAACUCUGGAACUGCCUUCGAAACUAGAGGACUUGGGUACGGGAGAGGUGAGUGGAAUUCCGAGUGUAGAGGUGAAAUUCGUAGAUAUUCGGAAGAACACCAGUGGCGAAGGCGGCUCACUGGCCCGUUACUGACGCUGAGGCGCGAAAGCGUGGGGAGCAAACAGG
rnacentral:rRNA from 1 species